UACAGAGAGUGCAAGCGUUAAUCGGAAUUACUGGGCGUAAAGGGCGCGUAGGUGGAUAUUUAAGUUGGAUGUGAAAUCCCUGGGCUUAACCUAGGAAUUGCACCCAAUACUGGAUGUCUAGAGUGUAGUAGAGGGAAGUGGAAUUUCCGGUGUAGCGGUGAAAUGCGUAGAUAUCGGAAGGAACACCAGUGGCGAAGGCGGCUUCCUGGACUAAUACUGACACUGAGGCGCGAAAGCGUGGGGAGCAAACAGG
rnacentral:rRNA from 1 species